rnacentral:rRNA from 1 species
UACGUAGGUGGCAAGCGUUAUCCGGAUUUAUUGGGCGUAAAGGGAACGCAGGCGGUCUUUUAAGUCUGAUGUGAAAGCCUUCGGCUUAACCGGAGUAGUGCAUUGGAAACUGGGAGACUUGAGUGCAGAAGAGGAGAGUGGAACUCCAUGUGUAGCGGUGAAAUGCGUAGAUAUAUGGAAGAACACCAGUGGCGAAAGCGGCUCUCUGGUCUGUAACUGACGCUGAGGUUCGAAAGCGUGGGUAGCAGACAGG